ACCACACCUGGCUGAUUUUUUUUUUUUUAAAUUUUUAGUAGAGAUGAGGUCUCUGUGUUGCCCUGACUGGUCUUGAACUGCUGGGCUCUCUUACUAGAAAUAGAAAUGUCUCUAACUUAUAAACAAUAUAUCAGAAAACUAUAACAAACACCAUAUUUGAUAGUGAAUUAUUAGAAACACUAGGGUAACAAUGGGGACUAUUAACCAAAUCAGUGACCAUAGGAGAAUGAGUGGGAUGAGGAGGUAGAGAGCCAGCCGAAUGGAGAGUUCCAACACGUCUGCAGCUCUGGAAAGAAGUAAGCUUGGUGGGAAAGAAUCUGUGGGUGACCCAUAGGCGAGAGUGGAAGGCAGGAAUCAGAUGAGAUCAAUUAGGGAGAGAGAGUAGGGUGAGAAGAGAACCAAGAAGAGAAGCCAGGAACACUAUCUUAAAGGAGCCAUGACACUGGGGAGCCAGAGACUGAGUCUGGAAGGGAGCAGACAGAGGAACAGAAGCAAAGGGAAACCUGGAGGGAAACGGCACUGAGGAGGAGGGUGUUCUUCACAGAGUCAAAGUAGAGGGCAAGGAUUUAGGAGUCACGAUUUGCUACUGAGAGGCUACUGUUAACCUUGGCCAAAGCUGUUUCUGUGGAGCAGGGAGAGCUAAGGGCCGUGUGGGUGGGUAUUCAAUGGUAAAAUCAGAAGUAGAAGGAGAAAAUGAGCACUUCCAUCAGGAAGGGGAAGUGAGCUGUGUGUAGGCACCAUGAGAAGGAGGUGAAGUUCCAGGGGAGUUUUAUGAGGUUGUGGUGAAAUCAGCAUUUUUGUAAGUCUGAAGGGGAGCAAGCAGUGGAGAGCAGAGAGACUGACAAGAGACAGCAGAAAGCAGAUGACUGAUGGGGCAAGUUCCUGCUGAAGGUGGGAGGAAAGAGAUGCUCAUAAAAGUGAAUUACUGUUUCACCGUGGAGAAAACAUAAAUGAAAUCAUUUACACUGCCAUUCACUUAUUAAUUCAAUAAGUAUUGAUUAAGUUUCUACUAUGUCCCAGGCACUGAGCUGGUGCUGGAAAUAAGAUAGAAAAAAUUCCCACCCUAUAUUAUGUAAGUUCAUUAACUUAAAACAAAAGGAAAACCAAAUCCAGAAACAAACAAAAAUUUGGCCCCUGUCAGGCCAGCGCUAAAGGAGGCAUGGUCUUGGAGGAAGUGUGUGUGACUGCCAGGCACUGGAGUCCCUGAGCAGGAAUGCUGCUCAUCUCAAAGGCAACACAAAGUGGCAGCUGGGACCAAGGAUCCAGAAUUUGAAUACCCUCCCACCACAUUCUAUCAGAGAGUCCUUUAGGACUAUGUUAAUGUGAGAGAAAAAACUUUACUUCAAUGGCAAGUUUUAACUAUGAAUGAUUAGGAGAGUCUCCUUUCUCCUGAAACAUUGCUCUUAGGGACAGAGUGGAAAAGACUCCUGGACAUAUGGGCCAGAACUACAAUGGGUGUUAGAGAGAAGAGGUAUACGCCAUGUGUCAUAACUAGAAAGGAGAAAUGCAGGCUUGCUGUGCUUAAUGCACUCAAAACCUCAAUAAAGACAAAUGGCAAUAGGCAAAAAGAUGAUGACAAAUACUCAUCUCAUUUACAUCAGUAAACUUGAUAUCGAAACCUUCAACCCUCUGAAUAGCAAGUCACUGGUUCUUUUCUUUCACUUCCCCCUCCGGCCCCUGCCCCAACCAAUUUCAUUCAGAUACAGCUUAGCUGGACCAAAUCUAUCAAGUCAUGCUUAUCCUUAAUCCUCGUCAGAGUUCUUGAAGUCAUCAACUAACCAUAUUGAUUUUGAAAUAGAAAAAGAAAAGCAGAGAAGCUGUGUUUUGACCUCUCUCCUGAAACAUUGCUCUUAGGGACAUAUGACCCAGAACUACAACUGCAAUGCAUGUUAAAUAGAAGAGGUAUAGGCCAUGUGUCAUCAUU
rnacentral:lncRNA from 1 species